rnacentral:rRNA from 1 species
CGCUGGCGGCGUGCCUAAUACAUGCAAGUCGAACGGUCUUUCUAUGGAAGCUUGCUUCCACUGAAAAGAUAGUGGCGAACGGGUGAGUAACACGUGGGUAACCUGCCCAUAAGAGGGGGGAUAACAUCCGGAAACGGGUGCUAAUACCGCAUAGUUUUCUUGAUCGCAUGAUCGGGAAAGGAAAGACGGCCUUUGUGCUGUCGCUUAUGGAUGGACCCGCGGCGUAUUAGUUAGUUGGUGAGGUAACGGCUCACCAAGACGAUGAUACGUAGCCGACCUGAGAGGGUGAUCGGCCACAUUGGGACUGAGACACGGCCCAAACUCCUACGGGAGGCAGCAGUAGGGAAUCUUCCGCAAUGGACGAAAGUCUGACGGAGCAACGCCGCGUGAGUGAAGAAAGGUUUUCGGAUCGUAAAACUCUGUUGUCAGAGAAGAACAAGUUGGAGAGUAACUGCUCCAGCCUUGACGGUAUCUGACCAGAAAGCCACGGCUAACUACGUGCCAGCCGCUGC